rnacentral:tRNA from 1 species
AUUUAAAUAGCUUAUAAAAUAGAGUAUAAUAUUGAAGAUAUUAAGGAAGAUAUUUAUCUUUUAAAUA